GUGGGGAAUUUUGCACAAUGGGCGAAAGCCUGAUGCAGCGACGCCGCGUGGAGGAUGAAGGCCUUCGGGUUGUAAACUCCUUUUGUAGGGGACAAUGAUGAUGGUACCCUGCGAAUAAGCCACGGCUAACUCUGUGCCAGCAGCCGCGGUAAGACAGAGGUGGCAAGCGUUGUUCGGAAUUACUGGGCUUAAAGGGCGCGUAGGCGGUGAGAUAAGUCUGAGGUGAAAUCCCGGGGCUUAACCCCGGAACUGCCUUGGAAACUGUUUUACUUGAGUCAGCGAGGGGAUGGUGGAAUUCCCGGUGUAGCGGUGAAAUGCGUAGAUAUCGGGAGGAAGGCCGGUGGCGAAGGCGGCCAUCUGGCGCUGAACUGACGCUGAGGCGCGAAAGCGUGGGUAGCAAACAGGAUUAGAAACCCGUGUAGUCC
rnacentral:rRNA from 1 species